CGACCUUGUUAGGCACGUUUUCCCCAUCUUCUGGUGUUUGCGCUCGCCCCCGCCCGCGUGUCUCUACACCCUUUGCCAGCGCAGUGAGGACCAAAGGGCUCUCUCUCUCUCUCUCUUUCCUCUCUUCCUAGCUGAACCCUUCUGCUCGGAAAUAAGAAGCUUUUCCCCUGUGAGAGCGGUGCUGACCUGAUUGUCUCUAAGCUCUCCGGCAAUUUAUAGCUUGGUAAUACCAAGAGAUGCCAAACAGAGGCUCAGAGGCUUGGAGGGAAGGGCGGGCUGGAUGGCUGACUGGCCCGGGGUGGAGCCCAGCUCCCCAGGGCAGGAACCUUUGCUCCACAGGUUGCUGAGAGGUUGGAUUUUCUGCUAUCGUGUCAUCUACUUAAGCCAAUAUUGAGACAGAAUCUUUGCUUAAAUGUGAAAAUCUGCAAGAACUUGCUCAUUGGGGCUGAAGAGAUGGCUUGGCUGUGAAGAACUGUACUGCUCUUGCAGAGGACACAAGGUCGUGUCCUAGCAUCAGAGUAAGGCAGCUUACAACUGCCUGUAGGUUCCAGGGGAUCUGACAACCUCUUUUGGCCUCCAUGGGUGCCUGUAUGUUUAUGUUUGGUCACCCUGACUAUGCUUCCUGCUCAGCUACUGGUCAAUCAGCAUUUUAUUAAACCAGUUCAAGUGAUAAAUCUUUACAGUGCACAAGGGAAUUUUUCUGCAGCAGAUAAAGGAUAUAACUAGGAAAAAAAACAACCUCAGCGACGUAACCCAGACCCAGAAAGAUGAAUAUGGAAAUUAUGUUGGCCACAUUGACUGAUGUGAGAAGACCUGUCCACCGUGGGUGGCACAAUUCCCUAGGGAGCAGAUCCUGAACUCGGUAUGAUCAGAGAAGGUGGAAAAAACAAUUAUAAACAACGAAAAAAUAUUAAUAUGAUAUUACAAUUAUCAAGCAAUUGUAGAAACAGCACUCAACUCCUCCGUGAAAAUGAAGCAAACACAGAAGAAAAAGCUAAGUAUAGUUUUUAUCUUCUAUACGACCUAAAACAAAAUUACCUUUCUUGUGUUCUGUUUGUCUCUUAUUAUCCUGGGAACUUUAAAACUAGAAAAUGUAGUUUAUUUGUGACAACAAUAUCUAGUCCUGGAAUCUCUAGGAAGAGUUUAUAACAUGUGCAAAUAAUAAGGGACUUUCUUUGCAGUUUUCACAUACAAUGGGUAAAACUGUUAUUUUGUUUUCAUUAUUUUCAGGAUGUAAAAAAAAAAUCAACGUCAGUCAGGAGAGAAAGACAGAAUUGGCAAUGCUUUUUGUUUCUCUUCGAGGUGAUGGACAUUAAGCUUGUGUCAACAUCAACAAAAAUUUCCUUAGCCUCUUACAAUUGCAUAUUUCUAUCUGAGAAAUCUUGGAGGUACAUACUACCUCUCAAUGGUUAGGACACAUUUUGUCAAUUUACUGUCAAAAUACUCAUUCAAGUGCCAAUUUGAAAAGUAAUCAGUAGUUUUAUUAAGAGUAAAAUAACCCAUUAUUAGUUUUUUUAAAGGUUUCCUUUGUCACCUUUCAAAUUGAGUUUUGAAGGUUUAAGUACUUCAAAAUCAAUAAUAAAAAUAGGGUUUUCAGAAUACAUUUUAUUUGUCUUACCAUAGCAGAAAAGAGAUCCUGGGGAUUGGACAGAGUGCUGUAUCUGAGUUGGAGAUUAGCUUCACAAAGAGAACAAAGUGUCCCUGUAUUAUCUUUUUCUAAUAUUUAACAUUCUUUGAGACUCAUAACUCAAAUCAUAAAGACCUUGAAGACACUGCACUAAUGCCCUACUUUUAAUGCCUCUAUAAUAAUACCAGAAAAGAUAUUUAGCUUGCAAAUUUUUUUUUAAGCUGAGAGUUGUAAUGUCUUGUGGGACAGGAUAACUGCAUGUGAAAGUCAUAAAAUAUCCAAAGACAGUACAAAUUUCUGAAUGCCCAACAACCAAAAUGUAAUUCAAAAUCAAAUAACAUAGUCAGAGUAAGUUGUCUCUGUCAGUGCUUGCCUGUGUGGUGUCACAGGACUACACUGCAGUCUUGGUUCUGAACACAACAUGAGCACCCUGUGGUAUGCACAUCAUCAUAUCAGGCAAUACCAACAAUGCUGCCUGGGAUGUGUCACUAUAGAUCUGAGAUUAUUAAACGGUUUGAACUGGAGUGUUUUUACUACAUGUGAUGUGGGUUUUAUCUUAAAUUUUGCUGUUUAUAUCCUUAUUAAUGUCUCCUUAUGCAGUCUUGGCUGGACCUGAACCUACAAUGUAGACAAGGCUGGCUCAAACUCACAGAGCUCUGCUUGUCUCUGCCUCUCAAGUUUUUCCAGGCUAAAGAGUCUUCCAUAAAGACUCUUUCAAGGGAAGGCUCUGAGAUUUAGAUUAGGUUAUGUUCUUAUCAUGAACCAACACCUUAACCACUUUAUAAUAAAGAUAUAUUUCAUGUUGUGACAAUGAUCAUCCUCAUGGUGAAUUGCCUGGAAGGCAGCUACACGCUAUCACUCUUACCCUGUAUAUUCUAGUUUGUUAUGCAGCCAUUUCUCCUUAAUUAAAAUAUUCUCUCCUGGAGGAAAUUUAAAGACUUGGAAGUAAAUGAAACUUACAAGUCUCAGGGAGCCCAUGAAACUUACAGGAUUCACAAGACCCCUUACCCAAGGUUAUAAGCACUUAGCAAUUGCUACGGAGAUGCUGCCAUUGGCUCAGCUGCCUGUAAUUACUACAAGGAGUUCCUGGUAUGCUAGGGUGGACUUUUUGGUGAUAGAUCUGCUUCUGAGUCACUCAUGGACUGGUAAGCAACCCCAACAAACUCACUAGUUGACUAAGUUAGACUUGAGUGGAAUUAUUUCUUAAGUCUGUUUUUUGUGCUCUUUCUUGGGUGAAUACAUAUCUGUAACCGGAGUUUUCUCCAAUCCCACUUGGGCCCACAGCUGCUUAGAACCAAGUAAACACACAGAGACGCAUAUUACUUAUAAACUGUAUGGCCGUGGCAGGCUUCUUGCUAUCUGUUCUUAUAUCUUAAAUUAAUCCAUUUCUAUUAAUCUAUAAGUUGCCACAUGGCUUGUGGCUUACCAGUACUUUACAUUUUACUUCUUAUGGUGGCAGUGGCUGGCAGCAUCUCCUGAUUCAGCCUUCCACUUCCCAGAAUUCUCCGCUCUCCUCUCUUGCCUAUAAUAUACUUCCUGCCUGGCUACUGGCCAAUCAGCAUUUUAUUUAUCAAUCAUUCAGAGGAACACAUUCACAGCAUACAGAGGGAUCAAUAUCCACAGUAGAUAUCAUUAUUCUAUAUGUCACAUUGUAAGACUAAAAAUCAAACCACUCUGUGUAGUUUUAUCAACAUAACAUGGAGAGAAAGGGAAGAUGCCAUACUGGGAAAUAGUUGGUAGGUCUUACUAUAACACAUAACUCUUCCACUAAAAAUUCACCAAACUGGACAUUCAGUUUCAUGCAGUCAAAGGUCAUGAAGAUUUUAUUAUUAUACCUUUGCCAUUUAUGUUUUCCUUUUCUGGAACAUCUACGACUCCUCUUACAACUCUGUUAGUAAUCUUAACAUGAGAGUGAGAUAUUCCAGAAUACAUAUCAUACCCAAUUCCCCUGGUCUAUAUUUUAAACAUUCACAUGUUUGUCCCAGAAUGAGAACUGAAUAAAUAUUUGCAGAAUGAGUUAAUAUACAAUAUCAACCUUUAAAAUUUCAUUUGUAUAUCUAUAAUAUAUACAUAGUUCUCUAACAUUUCAUAUACUUUUGAAUAUCAAUAUUAAGAGGGA